CUCUCGGUAGUCUAAUGGCUUAGGACGCUCGUACGGAAUACGAGAGAUCCAGGUUCAAGUCCUGGCCAAGGUG
rnacentral:tRNA from 1 species